GGUGGAGUUGCCCAACAAGAAACCGGGUUCCCCAAGUGGCAGUGUCAUCAAAUUAGGACACUGCCUCAAAUAGGGGGCACCAAAAACAUUUUGGACAACGCGCUGGAUCCAAAAUCCAGUGGCCGCAAGGUCGUGUGGGUUCGAGUCCCACCUCCGGUA
rnacentral:tRNA from 1 species